GAAGAGUCCAACAUACAAAGAAGUGCUGACACAAGCCACAAGAAAAGGGAUAAAACAAAAAUGCCCCAGGCCUUGCUGGAAGAGAAGAGCGAACAUGUAUAUAAAGGAAUUCAAGAAUAAUUUCACUGCCGUGAACCUGUAUUAUUGUAAAGCAGCAUAUAACCCACCACAGAUACAGGAAUCCUUGUCCUUCAGGUCAAUCAACAGAUAACGGGGGCUCUCCGGAAGCCAUGGAAGAACAAAAAGCUGCAGAAUAGCUGGGAUGGCAUUACUGGCUAAAAGGAAAGGCCAGCAAUCUUCACCGCCAAGGAUCUCACUGGUACAGGAAGAACAGGUUAUAAGAAUAAAAUUGAGAAGCCAUGAAAUUUAAUAUCAAUAAGACAUGCCAAAUAAACCUAGAAACAUUGA